AUGUAGCAAGCUGAGUGGGGAGGAGAGAAGGACAGAGAGCCUGCUUGCUUUAAAGGAGCCAACCGCUUUGCUCCUCUCCCGCUUUGCUCCUUUAAAGCAAGCAGGCUCUCUGUCCCUCUCUCCUCCCCACUCAGCGGCUCUUCUC
rnacentral:miRNA from 1 species